rnacentral:lncRNA from 1 species
CUCAUUUUCGCCUGGCUAGCUGUCGCCUCCAAUCUACUUCUCUGCUUGCUGGGUGCCAGCAGGCCUCUUCCCUUACGCCUAGUCCUUACAGGUUGCUCCUUCUCUCCCCCUCCUCUAGUCACGAGAUCUCCCCGUGAUCUGCCUACCUACAUUCUGCGGAUCCCAACCUCCACUUCGGUCCGCACAGCUGAGUCUCACAGCCGAGAGUGCCUCGGCCUUCUCAAACGCAGCGUGUUGGAAGUGUGUCCAUCCCUGGCCGCUGGACGCCUGCUCUCAGCCUUUGCCCCAGUCGCGGUGGAUUGCUCCACCAUCCCUGCUGCCCUGCCUCCUCCUCCUCCCCCACUUCCUGUGUCAAUCAUCCAUCGAGUCUGUCUAGUCAACUUACGAAAGGUCUCCCAGAUCUACACCCUCCUCUCCACCCGCGUCCAUCCCGGCAACAAGACUCGCAGCAUUUCCACCCCUUUCUACGCACUCUACCCUGGCUGUGCUGAGAUGCCUGCCUCCGGGUCUGCGCCCAUUCAUGGUCUCAGCUGAGAGGGCACGCCCCCUGUGGAGCCUUCCCUAAUCUCCAUGCCUGCAGCCCAAGACCGCGGUAAGCGCCCUGCUUCGGGUUCUCCUGUGCUCUUACUGCCCCUUGGUUUGCUGGGACUCCGCUCCAGCCACACCCAUCAAUCUAUCUGAUUCGCCCAGUCUCUGCACUCUGGCACGCAGGGACAGCGACCAAGCAGGCCAGUGCAGCUGUUUCCCUGUCCACCUUUCAAUGAGUCUGGGGCCUAGAGCGAGUUGGCGUCAUACAAGACCUUUGAUGUGGGGCUGUCAGCAGCUCUUACUCUUGGUGGCAUUCCUCCCUCCUCUAUCUGGCCUCAGCACAGAGAGGCCAGCAGACACAGCAAGAACUCCAGGCAUACCUGCAAGCUCCCUUCAUCUGGGUGGAUGUCCCUUGUAGACUGGCCGGCUAGAAACCAGCCUCGGCUACCUGGCACAUUGCGAAUGCUCAUGAAUGGAUGAGAAAUGGUCCUAUUGGGCUCAGUUGUCAUUGGCCCAUGGGAAAGUAGGAAAAUAGCACCUGUUUCCAGACUUUUAUCUAUGGAGCCUCGAGCCUCUUUCCUCUUAUUCCUUUAGCCAGCAGAUCACACAGCCCAUAUAGGGCAUUUGUUCUACUGGCUUGUAAUUAUUUCUUUACGUCUCUGUCACUUUGGAAGCUCUUCAAGGGCCAGGAUGAGAUCUUACUCCUCUCAGGGCCAUCAGCUGGUGGCACAGAGCCUGACACAGACUAGAAGAGGACAAGGAGGCUGCUGAGCCAAAUCCUAGGUGUAUGCAGCAUUUGCUGUCAGCUAUAGGCCAGGCGCAGAAGUGAUGCAUCAGUGCCGGAGCCCCUUUCUGAGCCCAGGUGCCCUGCCUUGCCUGCUCUCGGUGUUGUGCACGGGGAGGAUGCCACAAAGCUCCUUUCAGGGGAUGCUGGUGCCACGAGGUAGGUAAUAGCAGGUCGUGCUGCAAUAUUACUGUGUCAAAGGGUGGAUGCAAGGGCCUCCUGCCACACCCAGCAGGAGGAAACAAUGCAAGAGCAGACACGAGUGGACGCCCCUGGAGCCGGGCCAGAGCUUUAAGAGCCUGGGCUUUGGGGAGUCCAUCUGGUUGUUGCCACCGCCAUGGAUUUCAUAAGCACGAGUGUCCUAUCCGGAAAGGAACUCCAAGGCUGGGCCUUCCACCCUCUCCACAGUAUUGGGUCAGAUGUAAGACUGUGCCCAAGGGACUGCCCUUUUGUUUUGCCGCAGGUCACUGCCUGAGCCACGGGGAUUCCGGAGGGACACUGCUCCCAAACACGUCCCCACCCGCAGAGCCACAGUGCCUUUAAGCGGGGGUGCAGCCUGUCUCCUCCGAAGAACGGAGGCGCCUUCGCUUGGGUUUCCUGGGCAACACAGUUCGAGUCAGAGAGCAUCAUGCCGGAAGUGGAUGGAGGGCACUCUCAGGAGCAACACCUAUUAGCGAUGGAAGGCAGCAGGACAUGGCACCGGGAGAAGUCGAAGCGCAAUGCCAUUGCAGAGACCUCUGCUGACCCUCAGUGAGCUCCGGGGCUCCGGUGGCCUUGUGGAAUUGUCCCAGAUGGAAGCAAAGGGGCUGGGCCUUUGUACUUCUUGUCUUUAGCCCCAGGGAGAUAGGAUGGUCUUGGGCAACAAAGCUUCAGUCAGCGGAGAGAUCUCCCCAGAUGGCUGGGAGGUGGAAUGCCUGGGAGAGAGCACGUGGAUACUGGCGAGGCGGAAAAUGCAAAUAUACCUGAGAAAAGUAGUGGGGGGCGCUCUGAGCCUGUUUAGCUGCCAUUGGGGACACCCACAUCCUACCCAUACCAGAGUGCUGGUUCAAGUCCCGGCUUCCUGCUAAUAUAUCCUGGCAGGAAGCGGAGGAGGGCUCAGGUGCUUGGGCCCCUGCCACCCACAUAGGAGAACCUGAUAGAGUUCCAGGCUCCUGGCUGUGGCCUGGGUCCAGCCCUGGGCUGUUGCAGGCAUUUGGGAAAGAUACCAGCAGAUAGACAAUCUCUCUCUUUCCCUCUGCCUUUCAAGUAGAUGAAAAACAUAUAUAUAUAGGGGCCAGCGCUGUGGUAUAGUGGGUAAAGCCCCCGCCUGCAGUGACGGCAUCCCAUAUUGGUUCUGGUUCGAGACUUGACUGCUCCUCUUGUGAUCCAGCUCUCUGUUAUGGCCUGGGAAAGCAGUGGAAGAUGGCUCAAGUCUCCUGUGUGGGAGGCCCAUAAGAAGCUCUUGGCUCCUGGCUUCAGAUAAGCGCAGCUCUGGCCAUCUGGGGAGUGCACCAGUGGAUGGAAAAUCUCUCUCCUGGCCGGUGCCGCGGCUCACUAGGCUAAUCCUCCGCCUAGCGGCGCCGGCACACCGGGAUCUAGUCCCAGUCGGGGCGCCGGAUUCUGUCCCAGUUGCCCCUCUUCCAGGCCAGCUCUCUGCUGUGGCCAGGGAGCGCAGUGGAGGAUGGCCCAAGUGCUUGGGCCCUGUACCCCAUGGGAGACCAGGAGAAGCACCUGGCUCCUGCCAUGGGAUCAGCGCGGUGCGCCAGCCACAGCGGCCAUUGGAGGGUAAACCAACGGCAAAGGAAGACCUUUCUCUCUCACUGUCCGCUCUGCCUGUCAAAAAAUAAAAAAAAUUAAAAAAAUCUCUCUCCCUCUACC